UACGGGGGGGGGCAAGCGUUGUUCGGAAUUACUGGGCGUAAAGGGUGUGUAGGCGGUUGUUUAAGUUUGGUGUGAAAUCUCCCGGCUCAACCGGGAGGGUGCGCCGAAUACUGAAUAACUAGAGUGCGGGAGAGGAAAGUGGAAUUCCUGGUGUAGCGGUGAAAUGCGUAGAUAUCAGGAGGAACACCAGUGGUGUAGACGGCUUUCUGGACCGUAACUGACGCUGAGACACGAAAGCGUGGGUAGCAAACAGG
rnacentral:rRNA from 1 species